UGAGGUUUGUAUACUAGUAUAUCGAUACUCUAUCAAUGGAGGUUGUGUACUGGUAUAUGGAUAUUCUAUCAUUAGGGAUUGUGCAAUGGUAUAUUGAUAUCCUAUCAGUCGGGAUUGUGCACUAGUAUAUCAAUACAUUGUAAGUGGAGAUUAUAUAUUGAUACAUCGAUAUCCUGCCAGUAGGGAUUGUGCAUUAGUA
rnacentral:lncRNA from 1 species